rnacentral:rRNA from 1 species
AGAGCGAACGCUGGCGGCAGGCCUAACACAUGCAAGUCGAGCGCCCGUAGCAAUACGGGAGCGGCAGACGGGAUAGUAACACGUGGGAACGCGCCCUUCGGUUCGGAAUAACUCAGGGAAACUUGAGCUAAUACCGAAUACGCCCUUACGGGGAAAGAUUUAUUGCCGAAGGAACGGCCCGCGUCCGAUUAGCUAGUUGGUGAGGUAAUGGCUCACCAAGGCUACGAUCGGUAGCUGGUCUGAGAGGAUGACCAGCAUCACUGGGACUGAGACACGGCCCAGACUCCUACGGGAGGCAGCAGUGAGGAAUAUUGGACAAUGGGCGCAAGCCUGAUCCAGCCAUGCCGCGUGGAUGAUGAAGGCCUUAGGGUUGUAAAGUCUUUAACGGGAAGAUAAUGACGGUACCGUAGAAUAAGCCCGGCUAACUUCGUGCCAGCAGCCGC